rnacentral:misc_RNA from 1 species
UUUCCGUAGGUGAACCUGCGGAAGGAUCAUUAACGAGUUAGGGUCUUCCAGGCCCGACCUCCCAACCCUAUGUUUAUUGAACCUCUGUUGCUUCUUCGGACCCGCCUCACGGCCGCCGGAGGACCGCUGCAAGGCGUCCUCUGGCCAGCGUCCGCCGAUGGCCAACCACUUAAACUCUGAAUGAAUCGUGUCAUAUGUCUAAGUCUAUGAUUAAAUAAAAGCAAAACUUUCAACAACGGAUCUCUUGGUUCUG